AGUCGUAACAAGGUUUCCGUAGGUGAACCUGCGGAAGGAUCAUUACAAUAAAGCUGGUGGAAGUAGGGGUCCUUGAGUCAUGAUAAGUGGUAGAGGCUGCAACAGUCCGGCUGCCUACCCGAAAUUGUCUUACAAUGUCCCCCACAGCCUAAGGCCGAAUUACAACCUUGAUUAUCUACACUUGUUGCUUUGGGGUCUCAAGUGCCCCCAAGAGGACCCAACUCUCUUGCCAUUUAGUGACGUCUGAUGUACUAUAUAAUAUUUAAAAC
rnacentral:misc_RNA from 1 species